GACGAACGCUGGCGGCGUGCUUAACACAUGCAAGUCGAACGGAAAGGCCCUGCUUUUGUUGGGUGCUCGAGUGGCGAACGGGUGAGUAACACGUGAGUAACCUGCCCUUGACUUUGGGAUAACUUCAGGAAACUGGGGCUAAUACCGGAUAGGAGCUCCUGCUGCAUGGUGUGGGUUGGAAAGUUUCGGCGGUUGGGGAUGGACUCGCGGCUUAUCCGCUUGUUGGUGGGGUAGUGGCUUACCAAGGCUUUGACGGGUAGCCGGCCUGAGAGGGUGACCGGCCACAUUGGGACUGAGAGACGGACCAGACUCCUACGGGAGGCAGCAGUGGGGAAUAUUGCACAAUGGGCGGAAGCCUGAUGCAGCAACGCCGCGUGCGGGAUGACGGCCUUCGGGUUGUAAACCGCUUUCGCCUGUGACGAAGCGUGAGUGACGGUAAUGGGUAAAGAAGCACCGGCUAACUACGUG
rnacentral:rRNA from 1 species